rnacentral:rRNA from 1 species
RRNAGGUUGAUUCUGCCGGACCCCACUGCUAUCGGGGUGGGACUAAGGCAUGCGAGUUUGCGCCUUCAAGCCACGGUGAAGGCGCAGCGGACGGCUCAGUAACACGUAGCUAACCUGCCCUCGGGACGAGGAUAACCCCGGGAAACUGGGGCUAACACUCGAUAGGUUAGAAGGCCUGGAAUGGUUUCUAGCCUAARGGGCGUUGAACCAUGCUUCCAGCACUGCCCGAGGAUGGGGCUGCGGCCGAUCAGGUAGUUGGUGAGGUAACGGCUCACCAAGCCUAUAACCGGUACGGGCCGUAAGAGCGGGAGCCGGGAGAUGGGCACUGAGACAAGGGCCCAGGCCCUACGGGGCGCAGCAGCUACRAAAACUCCGCAAGGCGCGAAAGCGUGACGGGGCUACCCCGAGUGCUGUCCGCUGAGGAUAGCUUUUCUCCGGUGUAAUGAGCCGGAGGAAUAAGGGGAGGGCAAGCCUGGUGUCAGCCGCCGCGGUAAUACCAGCUCCUCGGGUGGUGGGGACGAUUAUUGGGCCUGAAGCGUCCGUAGCCAGCUCGGCAAGUCUUCUGUUAAAUCCAACGAUCUAAUCGUUGGACUGCGGAAGAUACUGUCGGGCUAGGGGCGGAAGAAGUCGACGGUACUCCUGGGGUAGGGGUGAAAUCCUAUAAUCCCGGGAGGACCACCAGUGGCGAGGGCGGUCGGCUAGAACGCGCCCGACGG